UAGUUCACUAGUUCAUCUCGGUAGAACACAUAUAUGAAAGAUGUGGUUGGGUUCAAAUCCCAAUGAGCUAA
rnacentral:tRNA from 1 species